AAUGGGUAUCUACCCCGAAAGGGGACGGGAAUCUCCUAAAACCAAUCUUAGUUCGGAUUGAGGGCUGCAACUCGCCCUCAUGAAGCUGGAAUCCGUAGUAAUCGCGUUUCAACAGAACGCGGUGAAUACGUCCCUGCUCCUU
rnacentral:rRNA from 1 species